AUCUAAAUAGUUUAUUUAAAAUAUUGAUUUGUGGGAUCAAAGAUAUAAAGGUUAUAUUUUAGAUA
rnacentral:tRNA from 1 species